ensembl:lncRNA
AGUAGAGAGUAGAGAGUAGAGAAGUAGGAGUAGAGAGUAGAGAGUAGAGUGUAGGGAGUAGAGAGUAGAGAGUAGAGAGUAGAGAGUAGAGAGUAAGGAGUAGAGAGUAGAGAGUAGAGAGUAGGAAGUAGAGAGUAGAGAGUAGAGAGUAGGGAGUAGGGAGUAGAGAGGAGAGAGUAGAGAGUAGGGAGUAGAGAGUAAGGAGUAGAGAGUAAGGAGUAGAGAGUAAGGAGUAGAGAGUAGAGAGUAGGGAGUAAAGAGUAGCGAGUAGGGAGUAGAGAGUAGGGAGUAGAGAGUAGAGAGUAGGGAGUAGAGAGUAAGGAGUAGAGAGUAGAGAGUAGAGAGUAGGGAGUAGAGAGUAGGGAGUAGAGAGUAGGGAGUAGAGUAGAGAGUAAGGAGUAGAGCGUAAGGAGUAGAGAGUAGGGAGUAGAGAGUAGGGAGUAGAGAGUAGGGAGUAGAGAGUAGAGAGUAGGGAGUAGAGAGUAAGGAGUAGAGAGUAGAGAGUAGCAGUAUUGGUUCCUUGUUUUCCAUGUUGUUCUACCUUUCUCCCAGGCCAUGCCUCAUGCCUCAUGCCUCAUGCCUCAUGCCUCAUGCCUCAUGUCUCAGCCAUCUGAGUACUGUAUCCGCUGUCUCUGACUGGUGCAGACGAGGAGAGAGAUGAUCUCUCCUGUGUAUUAGACCGUUUUACACUGACCUUGUCCUGGUCUGUCCUGGUCAGCUCGUGUCCUCUGCCCAGUAACUCAGUGGUAACUAGGUCAGCCCAGGAACCAGUGUGUCUGGCCUCAUCCCUCUCUUCUCCUCCUCAAAUGGAUGGAGUGUCUGAGGACCCCCUCCUCCUCCUCCUCC